rnacentral:rRNA from 1 species
GUAGGUGGCAAGCGUUGUCCGGAAUUAUUGGGCGUAAAGCGCGCGCAGGGCGGUCCUUUAAGUCUGAUGUGAAAGCCCACGGCUCAACCGUGGAGGGUCAUUGGAAACUGGGGGACUUGAGUACAGAAGAGAAAAGCGGAAUUCCAAGUGUAGCGGUGAAAUGCGUAGAGAUUUGGAGGAACACCAGUGGCGAAGGCGGCUUUCUGGUCUGUAACUGACGCUGAGGCGCGAAAGCGUGGGGAGCAAACAGGAUUAGAUACCCUGGUAGUCCACGCCGUAAACGAUGAGUGCUAAGUGUUAGGGGGUUUCCGCCCCUUAGUGCUGCAGCUAACGCAUUAAGCACUCCGCCUGGGGAGUACGGCCGCAAGGCUG